rnacentral:rRNA from 1 species
AUUGAACGCUGGCGGCAUGCCUUACACAUGCAAGUCGAACGGUAACAGGUCUUCGGAUGCUGACGAGUGGCGAACGGGUGAGUAAUACAUCGGAACGUGCCCGAUCGUGGGGGUUAACGCAGCGAAAGCUGUGCUAAUACCGCAUACGAUCUACGGAUGAAAGCGGGGGAUCGCAAGACCUCGCGCGGACGGAGCGGCCGAUGGCAGAUUAGGUAGUUGGUGGGAUAAAAGCUUACCAAGCCGACGAUCUGUAGCUGGUCUUGGAGGACGACCAGCCACACUGGAAGUGGAACAGGGCCAGGACCCUAAGGGGGGGAAGAGGGGGGAAAUUUUGGCAAUGGGGGGAAACCUUGACCAGGCCCGGCCGGGUGGAGGAUAAAGGCUUCGGGGUUGUAAACUCUUUUUUUAGGGAAGAAAAAAGCUCUCUCUAACUAGGGGGGUGAAGGAGGGACCCAAAAAAAAAAGCACGGGUAAACACCGU